AUUGAACGCUGGCGGCAUGCUUUACACAUGCAAGUCGAACGGCAGCGCGGGGGCAACCCUGGCGGCGAGUGGCGAACGGGUGAGUAAUGUAUCGGAACGUAUCCUGUAAUGGGGGAUAACCAGUCGAAAGAUUGGGUAAUACCGCAUACGCACGAGAGUGGAAAGUAGGGGAUCGCAAGACCUUACGUUAUAGGAGCGGCCGAUAUCUGAUUAGCUAGUUGGUGGGUAAAGGCCUACCAAGGCGACGAUCAGUAGCUGGUCUGAGAGGACGACCAGCCACACUGGGACUGAGACACGGCCCAGACUCCUACGGGAGGCAGCAGUGGGGAAUUUUGGACAAUGGGCGAAAGCCUGAUCCAGCCAUGCCGCGUGCAGGAAGAAGGCCUUCGGGUUGUAAACUGCUUUAGUCUAGGAAAAAGGGGUAGCGAGGUUAAUACCUCGUGCUUUGAUGGUACUGGAAGAAUAAGACACCGGCUAACUACGUGCCAGCAGCCGCGGUAAAGUACCG
rnacentral:rRNA from 1 species